UGGGGAAUCUUGCGCAAUGGGCGAAAGCCUAACGCAGCAACGCCGCGUGAAGGAUGAAGGCCUUCGGGUCGUAAACUUCUGUCGGGCGGAACGAACCUCCCCGGGGUGAACAAUCCCGGGGACUGACGGUACCGCCAAAGGAAGCACCGGCCAACUCUGUGCCAGCAGCCGCGGUAAUACAGAGGGUGCGAGCGUUGUUCGGAAUUACUGGGCGUAAAGCGCGUGUAGGCGGCCAGGCAAGUCGGGUGUGAAAGCCCUGGGCUUAACCCAGGAAGUGCACUCGAAACUGCCAGGCUCGAGUACGGGAGAGGGUGGUGGAAUUCCCAGUGUAGAAGUGAAAUUCGUAGAUAUUGGGAGGAACACCGGUGGCGAAAGCGACCACCUGGACCGAUACUGACGCUGAGACGCGAAAGCGUGGGGAGCAAACAGGAUUAGAUACCCUGGUAGUCCACGCUGUAAACGAUGGGUACUAGGUGUAGCGGGUAUUGACCCCUGCUGUGCCGAAGUUAACACAUUAAGUACCCCGCCUGGGAAGUACGGCCGCAAGGCUAA
rnacentral:rRNA from 1 species